CAUUAAGUGCAGGAAAAGAAACCAAAUGGGAUUCCCCCAGUAACGGCGAGUGAAGUGGGAUGAGCUCAGCACCGAAGCCGGCGGUCGAGAGGCCGUCGUGCAAUGUGGUGUUUGGGAGGGCUCUGUCCGUGUCCGGUGUUGGUCCAAGUCUCCUGGAAAGGAGUUCCAUGGAGGGUGACAGGCCCGUGCGACCAAUUGCCGCGCUCGCGGACGAGUCCUCCUUCGAGUCGGGUUGCUCGCUAAUGCAGCCCUAAGCAGGUGGUAAGCUCCAUCUAAAGCUAAAUAUAACCACGAGUCCGAUAGUCAACAAGUACAGUGAUGGAAAGUUGAAAAGUACUCUGAAGAGAGAGUCAAAUAGCCCGUGAAGCUGCCAGUAUGGGAUUAAGCGCACGUGUGACGCGUGUCGUCGGACAAAUAGGCGCACGUCGGCUGCCGCACUGUGCUUGUCGAUAUCGUAAUUGGUGUCGAUCUGCGCGUGUGAUUGGUGGUCGGCGUCGCGCCUCCCUUUGUUCGGCAUCGACAGGUCGGGGCUUCGUUGUCCGGUCUUAUUGCCGGUCGUGAUCUUUAGAGCCGUGUCGGGCCGGCGCCGUCCUCGGACGGUGCCGGUGCUCCGUGGAAUGUGCGUUUACGCGGCCACGGCCGGCCUGGUCUUUAGUGCAAUGCGACCGAUUAGCGAACGACUGGGCGACGGCCAGCGCAAACCGACUCGCAAGAGUCGGCUCGGCCUUUGCGUCGUCACGUGCGGCCCGUCUUGAAACACGGACCAAGGAGUCUAACAUGUGAGCGAGCGAUUGAGAUUGUCGAAUCUCAAACGCGCAAUGAAAGUGAAGUGUCGUCUGACGGCACGAGCGGAGAUCCGUCGUCACUCGUGGCGGCGGCGCACCCGCGGGCCACGCCAUCGGCUGGCUUGCUUUUCGGAGCACUGCUGAGGCGUGGACCUAGAGCCCACACGUUGGGACCCGAAAGAUGGUGAACUAUGCCUGGCCAGGAUGAAGCCAGAGGAAACUCUGGUGGAGGUCCGCCGCGAUUCUGACGUGCAAAUCGAUCGUCUGAGCUGGGUAUAGGGGCGAAAGACCAAUCGAACCAUCUAGUAGCUGGUUCCGCCCGAAGUUUCCCUCAGGAUAGCUGGCGCUCGUGUGAUACGGAGUUUCAUCCGGUAAAGCGAAUGAUCAGAGGAGCUGGGCUCCCUGCGAGCUCAACCUAUUCUCAAACUUUCAAUGGGUGAGACGUCUCGCUGGCUUCACUGCAGCGACGACUCUGAAUCCGAGUGCCCAGUGGGCCACUUUUGGUAAGCAGAACUGGCGAUGCGGGAUGAACCGCAUGUCGAGUUAAGGUGCCCAAGCGGACGCAAAUCAGAUACCAUGAAAGGUGUUGAUUGCUCACGACAGCAGGACGGUGGCCAUGGAAGUCGGCAUCCGCUAAGGAGUGUGUAACAACUCACCUGCCGAAGCAAUCAGCCCUGAAAAUGGAUGGCGCUAAAGCGUUCCACCGAUACUCGACCGUCGUCGGCAGGCGAAUUCCUUGUGGAUUCUCAAGCCACGACGAGUAGGGCGGCGCGGUGGUGAGCGUAGAAGGCGUAGCCGUGAGGCUAGCUGGAGCCGCCAUCGGUGCAGAUCUUGGUGGUAGUAGCAAAUACACAAGCAAGAUCCUUGUGGACCGAUGUGGAGAAGGGUUCCGCGCGAACAGUACUUGGACGUGGGUGAGUCGGCCCUAAGCCAACGGGUAAUUCCCGCAUCCCGUGUUCACCGUUUCUGAAUCGAACAACAUGGGUUGAU
rnacentral:rRNA from 1 species